AACGAACGCUGGCGGCAUGCCUAACACAUGUAAGUCGAACGAGACCUUCGGGUCUAGUGGCGCACGGGUGCGUAACACGUGGGAAUUUGCCUCGGGGUAUGGAAUAAACUCAGGGAAACUUGAGCUAAUACCAUAUAAUGUCUUCGGACCAAAGAUUUAUCGCCCUGAGAUAAGCCCGCGUAGGAUUAGCUAGUUGGUGGGUAAAGGCUCACCAAGGCGACGAUCCUUAGCUGGUCUGAGAGGAUGAUCAGCCACACUGGGACUGAGACACGGCCCAGACUCCUACGGGAGGCAGCAGUGGGGAAUAUUGGACAAUGGGCGAAAGCCUGAUCCAGCAAUGCCGCGUGAGUGAUGAAGGGCC
rnacentral:rRNA from 1 species